rnacentral:tRNA from 1 species
GGUCUUAAAGGAUGGGCACUUGCCUUAGUUCCGGUAGGUUGGGUCUUCUUGGCGCGGUUUU